AUGAACGCUGGCGGCGUGCUUAACACAUGCAAGUCGAACGGUGAAGGCGGAGCUUGCUCUGCUUGAUCAGUGGCGAACGGGUUAUUAACACGUGAGCAAUCUGCCCCUGACUCUGGUUUAAGCGCUGGAAACGUCGUCUAAUACUGGAUACGAGCUGCGAAGGCAUCUUCAUCAGCUGGAAAGAAUUUCGGUCGGGGAUGAGCUCGCGGGCUAUCAGCUUGUUGGUGAGGUAAUGUCUCACCAAGGCGUCGACGGGUAGCCGGCCUGAGAGGGUGACCGGCGACAAUGGGACUGAGAGACGGACCAGACGCCUACGGGAGGCAGCAGUGGGGAAUAUUGCACAAUGGGCGAAAGCCUGAUGCAGAAACGCCGCGUGAGGGACGACGGCCUUCGGGGUGUAAACAUCUUUUAGCAGGGAAGAAGCGAAAGUGACGGUAACUGCAGAAAAAGCGCCGGCUAACUACGUG
rnacentral:rRNA from 1 species